AAUACCUGUAUCAUUUGACGUUAGCUGCAGAAGAAGCACCGGCUAACUCCGUGCCAGCAGCCGCGGUAAUACGGAGGGUGCGAGCGUUAAUCGGAAUUACUGGGCGUAAAAGCGCAUGCAGGCGGCCUGUUAAGUCAGAUGUGAAAAGCCCGGGCUUAAACCUCGGAAAUUGCAUUUGAAAACUGGCAGGCUAGAGUCUUGUAGAGGGGGUAGAAUUUCAGGUGUAGCGGUGAAAAUGCGUAGAGAUCUGAAGGAAUACCAGUGGCGAAGGCGGCCCCUGGACAAAGACUGACGCUCAGAUGCGAAAGCGUGGGGAGCAAACAGGAUUAGAUACCCUGGUAG
rnacentral:rRNA from 1 species